AAUUUUGUCUCGCAUCCUAGAUAAAAAAAAACAUCACCCAGGUAGGCCAGUCAUGUGAGAAACUCGUCGUCAGACAAGGGAAAAUUGUGUGUCCAAAACGGCUUUCAAGCUGUCAGUCAUUCCCUUAGCAGCAAGAGCUUCUCGUGGAUGCUGCGGUGUACCCAAGUGGCGUCGGGAGCAACUGCUUGCAUGCGCUGUUGGGGAAUAAUCAGAAUUGGUUGGUAACAUAGAAUCGUUACACGAACUAUGGACUCAGCUGUGUCUAGACUCUCUGCAACUACCUCUACACAAGAGAUCUCCUAAAAGACUAAAAUAUUAUUCGAAAGUGUCUUCGUCGAGGACAACUGAAGACUGCUGUGCUACUUCCGAAGAGUGAUACAGUCCACCCGGUCCUGGGUUACCUCCAGACAAGUCCCCUGAAGCCUGUGUGUGUCGUAGAGCAAAACAACCGACACCUUCGUGUUCAUGAGAAUCUCUCCUUUCAAGUCUAUCCAGUGUGCAAAGCUGCCAUCAAGACAAAUUGCUACUUUGAAGAAUCUCAAAUGUAAAAUAUACUUUGAUUUGUUUGAUAUGUUCAUGCCAGUAAAUUUCAGCAAGUAGCAAUGUGAACGUGUUUGUGUGCAUUUGUGUGUUGCAGGGGAUUUGGAAUAAGACAGUGGAGACAGGAGACAGAGUAGGCUACGAUUAUAUAUUAAAUAUUUUUUUCUUACAUUUAGUUAUGUUUAGGGCUGUUGGUAGGCCUCAGUCUGGAAUGGCUCUUUGAUGUUGUUGACACAAUGCGUCAAUAAUGAAGGGGCCUGUGCUUUUACUGGUUGGCUCUCAUGUCUUUCUCACUCAAACACCCACAUGCAGAGCCACACUCAGAAGGGGUAGGCGCUCGGGAGCUAUUACAUUGGGGCUCCCAAGAGGCGCAGUGGACUAAGACACUGCAUCUCACUUUAAGAGGCACCACUGUAGUACCUGGUUUGAAUCCAGACUGUAUCACAUCCAGCCAUGAUUGGGAGUCCCAUAGAGUGGCACACAA